ACGGUUAGAUAUGACCGUUGCAUGUAGUCUUGAACACUUUCCACUUUGCACCAAUUUUUCUUAUCAUACAUUAACCUCUCUUAAACUUACUUCAUGCCCAGAAUUGAAACACUGGAGAUAUCGACCAGUAUUUCCAAAUUCCCUUCAAUUUCCAGCGUUAACCUAUUUGUCUUUAGGAUUCUUCGCCUUUCGAUGCACUACUGAUGAUGGCUAUGCUGACCCCUUUUCGGUUUUUCAAAGUUUGAAUACUUUAAUUAUUCAGUGUUGUCAACUUUAUAAUGAAAAAACCUGUGUUGUAGACAACCUCUUCAUAUCAAGUGUCUCACUUGUUAAUUUAACCAUAAACAUGCCUAAGAAUUACGAGUCUUACAAAUUGAAGUUAUCUACCCCAAAUCUUUGUAGCUUUGAUUAUACUGGUCAUCCUUUUCAGAAUCUAUGUGGACAUAAUAACAUUAGCAAUACCAAUUUCUCUUACAUUAAACAUGUAAAGAUUAAUUUACCACUCCUCAAAGUCACAUGUUGUCCUACAAUUCUAUUCAAUUGGCUUGUUGAGCUUGCCCUUAUGGAAUCAUUGACAAUCUCUUCAAAGACUCUUGAGGUAUUUUAAUUUGGUUUGCUUAAAAUUUAAUGCUUUCCUUUUUUUUAUUGACUUGUCUUAAAUGAUUUUAAUUUACCUUCAUUCCUCAUUGCUUUGACACUCAACUUAAUUCCUGAAUCAUGGAAGAUUGGUUUCUCUUAUUUACAUAACUUGAAGUUACUGAAAAUAGUAACGAUUGAACGUUUUUCUUUACCCGAUGGAAAAGAAGACUUUUUGCUUCAAAACGCACCAUCAGCAAAGAAAGUCAUUUUGCCAGGACCUACCUUGAAGAGUAUAUUGAAGGAUUUAAUCAAUGAAGAACGGAUACUUAAAAAACGAUUUCGAUACUGACACGCCGACACCGUUAAUAGUUUAAAAAAAUGAAUAAAAUAAAUGUAAUAAUUGCCGGUGGAGUUGUCUAACUCAGACAUGGUCGGUGCUACAUUGGAUUUUAUGUCCAAGAGAUGAGAAUAAGCAUGGAUGCAUUGGUUUAUUUUCCAAGAGAUCGGACUAAAGCAAUGCUUAUAAGAGAUAUCUUUCAAUAGCUAGAUAGCAUUAUUAAGACUUCCUAUAUAUAUUUUUCCCUUCAACUUAUUGAAUUAUUGUUUUUA